GACGGCGGCGCAACGACAUUUUACGAGUAUGAAAGAGAAAGGCCCCUACCCGUUGGUCCGUGUGCGUGACCCUCAGACACGCCAAUGGGAUGGGCCAUUUGAGCUGCAUUGCCUCGGGCGGGGGUACACCUGUGUACAGACGCCUGAAGGGCUACUGAAAUGGGUCCCUAGUCGUAUGGUUCGUCCUGCCCUAACCUCGUAGUGUUUGAGUGUUUUUCUUUACAGAUUGCUGUCAUCCUUUCCUGGCUUGUGACGUCUUGGGUAUCUGCUACGAAUUUCUGGCAGUGGAUGCAAAACCAAUUGGGGGGCCCGAUGUGUAUCCGGAUGACAUCCCUCUCAGAGUCCAUCAAUACGUGUCUUUAUGGGAUCCGGCUGUCAGAGACGGAGCUGAAAACGUUGUGUACGAACAAGUGUCAACAGAAGAGUUAAAACUUCUCACC